AUUGAACGCUGGCGGCAGGCUUAACACAUGCAAGUCGAGCGGGGUGAUGGUGCUUGCACUAUCACUUAGCGGCGGACGGGUGAGUAAUGCUUAGGAAUCUGCCUAUUAGUGGGGGACAACAUCUCGAAAGGGAUGCUAAUACCGCAUACGUCCUACGGGAGAAAGCAGGGGACCACUUGUGACCUUGCGCUAAUAGAUGAGCCUAAGUCGGAUUAGCUAGUGGGUGGGGUAAAGGCCUACCAAGGCGACGAUCUGUAGCGGGUCUGAGAGGAUGAUCCGCCACACUGGGACUGAGACACGGCCCAGACUCCUACGGGAGGCAGCAGUGGGGAAUAUUGGACAACGGGGGGAACCCUGAUCCAGCCAUGCCGCGUGUGUGAAGAAGGCCUUAUGGUUGUAAAGCACUUUAAGCGAGGAGGAGGCUCUUUUGGUUAAUACCCAAGAUGAGUGGACGUUACUCGCAGAAUAAGCACCGGCUAACUCUGUGCCAGCCGCCGCCGUAA
rnacentral:rRNA from 1 species